UACGGGGGGGGGCAAGCGUUGUUCGGAAUUACUGGGCGUAAAGGGCUCGUAGGCGGCCAACUAAGUCGGAUGUGAAAUCCCCAGGCUCAACCUGGGAACUGCAUCCGAUACUGGAAGGCUUGAAUCCGGGAGAGGGAUGUGGAAUUCCAGGUGUAGCGGUGAAAUGCGUAGAUAUCUGGAGGAACACCGGUGGCGAAGGCGACAUCCUGGACCGGUAUUGACGCUGAGGCGCGAAAGCCAGGGGAGCAAACAGG
rnacentral:rRNA from 1 species